ACUCCUACGGGAGGCAGCAGUGGGGAAUAUUGCACAAUGGGGAAACCCUGAUGCAGCCAUGCCGCGUGUGUGAAGAAGGCCUUCGGUUGUAAAGCACUUUCAGUAGGGAGGAAGGUAGUGUAGUUAACACCUGCACUAUUUGACGUUACCUACAGAAGAAGCACCGGCUAACUCCGUGCCAGCAGCCGCGGUAAUACGGAGGGGUGCGAGCGUUAAUCGGAAUUACUGGGCGUAAAGCGCAUGCAGGCGGCCUGUUAAGUCAGAUGUGAAAGCCCGGGGGCUUAACCUCGGAAUUGCAUUUGAAACUGGCAGGCUAGAGUCUUGUAGAGGGGGUAGAAUUUCAGGUGUAGCGGUGAAAUGCGUAGAGAUCUGAAGGAAUACCAGUGGCGAAGGCGGCCCCCUGGACAAAGACUGACGCUCAGAUGCGAAAGCUGGGGAGCGAAACAGG
rnacentral:rRNA from 1 species